UGGGGAAUCUUGCACAAUGGGGGCAACCCUGAUGCAGCGACGCCGCGUGAGCGAUGAAGCCCUUCGGGGCGUAAAGCUCUUUCGACCGGAACGAUAAUGACGGUACCGGGAGAAGAAGCUGCGGCUAACUACGUGCCAGCAGCCGCGGUAAUACGAAGGGAGCUAGCGUUGUUCGGAAUCACUGGGCGUAAAGCGCACGUAGGCGGACUUUCAAGUCAGGGGUGAAAUCCAGGGGCUCAACCUCGGAACUGCCUUUGAUACUGUUGGUCUCGAGUCCGGAAGAGGUGAUUGGAAUUCCUAGUGUAGAGGUGAAAUUCGUAGAUAUUAGGAAGAACACCGGUGGCGAAGGCGGCUCACUGGUCCGGUACUGACGCUGAGGUGCGAAAGCGUAGGGAGCAAACA
rnacentral:rRNA from 1 species